GACAGAGGGUGCAAACGUUGUUCGGAAUUACUGGGCGUAAAGCGAGUGUAGGCGGUUUCCUAAGUCGGAUGUGAAAGCCCCGGGCUCAACCCGGGAAGUGCAUUCGAAACUGGGAGGCUAGAGUGUCGGAGAGGUUGGUGGAAUUCUCGGUGUAGAGGUGAAAGUCGUAGAUAUCGAGAGGAACACCGGUGGCGAAGGCGGCCAACUGGACGAACACUGACGCUGAGACUCGAAAGCGUGGGGAGCAAACAGG
rnacentral:rRNA from 1 species